ensembl:lncRNA
GGCAGCUAUGGGGCUGCCUAUAGGGCUGGCUGUGGGGCUGCCUAUAGGGCUGCCUAUGGGGCGGUUGUGGGGUUUGCUCUGGGGCUGGUUAUGGGGCAGCUGUGGGGCUGAGUUUGCUAUGGGGUGGGGCAGUAGGGCUGGUUAUGGGGCAGCUAUGGGUCUGGCUAUAGGGCUGGCUAUGGGGCUGGCUGUGGGGCAGCUGUGGGGCUGCCUAUAGGGCUGGCUUUGGGGCUGCUGUGGGGCUGCCUAUGGGGCUGGUUAUGGGGCAGGUUAUGGGGCAGCUGUGGGGCUGCAUUUAGGGCUGGCUAUGGGGCUGGUUAUGGGGCAGCUAUGGGGCUGACUAUAGGGCUGGCUAUGGGGCAGCUGUGGGGCUGAGUUUGUUAUGGGGCUGGGCUCCAGGGCUGGUUAUGGGGCAGCUAUAGGACUGCUUAUAGGGCUGGCUAUGGGGCUGCUGUGGGGCGGAGUUUGCUAUGGGGUGGGACAAUUGGGCUGGCUAUGGGGCAGCUGUGGGGCUGCCUAUAGGACUGGUUAUGGGGCAGCUGUGGGGCUGACUAUAGGGCUGGUUAUGGGGCAGCUGUGGGGCUGGGUUUGCUAUGGGGUGGG